UAAUACGAGUGGCGCAAGCGUUGUUCGGAUUCACUGGGCAUAAAGCGCGCGUAGGCGGUGCUGUAAGUCGGUUGUGAAAGCCCCCGGCUCAACCGGGGAAUCGCAGUCGAAACUGCAGUGCUAGAGUCUGGAAGGGGGGAGUGGAAUUCCUGGUGGAGCGGUGAAAUGCGUAGAUAUCAGGAGGAACGCCGGUGGCGAAGGCGACUCUCUGGUCCAGUACUGACGCUCAGAGCGCGAAAGCUAGGGGAGCAAACAGG
rnacentral:rRNA from 1 species